AAGAAAGAAAGAGGAAGAAGCCUGAAUGCAGGUAAGGGAGCUUUGGGCUUUGGGUUUGGAGUCAAAAUGUGGACUCCAGUCCUGGCUACAGCACUUGCCUCAGACAAGUGCCUUCCUCUGAGAUUCCUCACCUGUACAAUGGGAGGGUUUAAGAUUCCUUCUACCUCUGAGAAUCUGCACACAGAAUAUGGCUGAAGAGGGGAUGAGCUUUGUGUCUCCUUCCCUCGAGGUGGGGGAAAUUCUUUCCCAGUAUGAAUAAUUCUCACCUUCCCCACCAGAGCAAGGGCAGGCUCUCAGACCCGCCACCUCUCCCUCGUCAUAGCCCUACUGGCCUUGCCGAUGUCCUGAUUCUGUCAACCCCUUUCACAUGCCCCUCCACCAACAUCCUGGUUAUCUUAUUUCCUGGACCUCCUGUCGUAUCUGCUAACCCUUGGUAAGAAUGGUAGCGCUCUGGAGUGAAACGGUCACAUGGAGGCAGCAGAACGCAGUGUGUAUGAACACGCGACUUAAAGUCAGAGAGACACAGGUUGACGUCUAAACUCUGCCACUUCCCAGCUCUACGGCCCUAAGCAAGUCUGAUCCCCGAGAGCUGUUUUUCUUUACUGUAUAACAGGAAUAAUAAUUGUUUCUAUCUCAAGUCUAUUUGUGAAGAUUAAACAAGAUGAAGAACGUGCCCAGCAUAUAGUAAGUUCACAAUAAACAAUAGCUAAUAUUACCAUUUAGCAUUCUGUAGAGCUCAUUUGCAUAUGUGUUCAAGAAUUACCUUCUUAUCUCUUUGAUAUUACUUUCCUCUCCUUCCCCUUAUGCAGAGAACAUCACCACUCUGGAGCCGGACUCAGCAGGAAUAUUUAAGAAACAACUGAGGCAUCAGACCAACUUUCCCCACAAGUCCUCGGAUCUUUCCUGCCACGCCAAUGCCAUAUUUUCCAAUGUGAUCAACCCGGCCCCCUAGAACGGGGACGACUUUGCUGUCUAUGCUAACAUGCCUCCUUUCCAUUGCCCCUAGUGGACAUCGCCAGACCAAGUGGAAUAUGCCUUCAUUGCAUUCCACUGAUGGGAAGCCAACGAGAUGCUCAGAGCAGGGGUCAGACCUGGCCCCAGCUGGGUCUUGGCAUAGCCUUUGCUUUAGAUUUCGGUGUGU